rnacentral:rRNA from 1 species
UGCAACUCGACUACAUGAAGCUGGAAUCGCUAGUAAUCGCGGAUCAGAAUGCCGCGGUGAAUACGUUCCCGGGUCUUGUACACACCGCCCGUCACACCAUGGGAGUCAGUAACGCCCGAAGCCGGUGACCCAACCUAUUCUGGAGGGAGCCGUCGAAGGCGGGACGGAUGACUGGGGUGAAGUCGUAACAAGGUACC